AAUGAACGCUGGCGGCAGGCCUAACACAUGCAAGUCGAGCGGAUGAAGGGAGCUUGCUCCUGGAUUCAGCGGCGGACGGGGGAGUAAUGCCUAGGAAUCUGCCUGGACGUGGGGGAUAACGUCCGGAAACGGGCGCUAAUACCGCAUACGACCAGAGGGAGAAAGUGGGGGAUCUUCGGAUCUCACGCUAACAGAUGAGCGUAGGGCGGAUCAGCUAGUUGGUGGGGUAAAGGCCUACAGAGGCGGCGAUCCGUAACUGGUCUGAGAGGAUGACCAGUCAGCCUGGCACUGAGACACGGUCCAGACUCCUACGGGAGGCAGCAGUGGGGACUCUUGGACAAAGCGGCAGAGCCUGAUCCAGCCCUGCCGCCUGUGUGAAGAACGUCUUCGGAUUCUAAAGUGAUUUAAGUUGUGGGGUUGUAAAGUACGUUUAUCCCUGGCUAUUUUGACGUUACCGACAGAAUAAGCACCGGCUAACUCCGUG
rnacentral:rRNA from 1 species